UACGUAGGGUGCAAGCGUUGUCCGGAAUUAUUGGGCGUAAAGAGCUCGUAGGCGGUUUGUCGCGUCUGCUGUGAAAACGCGAGGCUCAACCUCGCGCCUGCAGUGGGUACGGGCAGACUAGAGUGCGGUAGGGGAGAUUGGAAUUCCUGGUGUAGCGGUGGAAUGCGCAGAUAUCAGGAGGAACACCGAUGGCGAAGGCAGAUCUCUGGGCCGUAACUGACGCUGAGGAGCGAAAGCGUGGGGAGCGAAC
rnacentral:rRNA from 2 species